UCGUGACUGGGACCGACUAAUACCCCAUGGCAUUGAUUUCAGGCAUCUGUUAUCAAUUAAAGAAUUUCGGAAACGGAUAGGCUCGCGUGACAUUAGCUAGAUGGCGGGGUAACGGCCCACCAUGGCGACGAUGUCUAGGGGUUCUGAGAGGAAGGUCCCCCACACUGGAACUGAGACACGGUCCAGACUCCUACGGGAGGCAGCAGUGAGGAAUAUUGGUCAAUGGUCUGACGACUGAACCAGCCAUGCCGCGUGAAGGUGACGGCCCUAUGGGUCUUAAACUUCUUUUGUAAGGGAGCAAUAAGGUCUACGUGUAGAUUGAUGAGAGUACCUUACGAAUAAGCAUCGGCUAACUCCGUGCCAGCAGCCGCGGUAAUACGGGGGAUGCAAGCGUUAUCCGGAUUUAUUGGGUUUAAAGGGUGCGUAGGCGGUCUGGUAAGUCAGCGGUGAAAUUUAGGGGCUCAACCUCUACCGUGCCGUUGAUACUGUCAGGCUAGAAUGCGGAUGCCGUGGGAGGAAUGUGUGGUGUAGCGGUGAAAUGCAUAGAUAUCACACAGAACACCGAUUGCGAAGGCAUCUCACGAAUCCGCGAUUGACGCUGAUGCACGAAAGCGUGGGGAUCAAACAGGAUUAGAUACCCUGGUAGUCCACGCUGUAAACGAUGAUGACUAACCGUCGGCGAUACACAGUCGGUGGCCAAGCGAAAGCGAUAAGUCAUCCACCUGGGGAGUACGACCGCAAGGUUGAAACUCAAAGGAAUUGACGGGGGCCCGCACAAGCGGAGGAACAUGUGGUUUAAUUCGAUGAUACGCGAGGAACCUUACCCGGGCUCGAACGGCAGAUGAAUUGAGUAGAGAUAUUCAAGUCUUCGGACAUCUGUCGAGGUGCUGCAUGGUUGUCGUCAGCUCGUGCUGUGAAGUGUCGGCUUAAGUGCCAUAACGAGCGCAACCCUUGCCGUUAGUUGCCAUCAGGUUAUGCUGGGGACUCUAGCGGGACUGCCACCGCAAGGUGUGAGGAAGGGGGGGAUGACGUCAAAUCAGCACGGCCCUUACGUCCGGGGCGACACACGUGUUACAAUGGUGGGUACAGAGGGAAGCUACCUGGCGACAGGAUGCAGAUCUCGAAAACCCAUCCCAGUUCGGA
rnacentral:rRNA from 1 species